AUUGAACGCUGGCGGCAGGCCUAACACAUGCAAGUCGAACGGUAACAGGAAGCAGCUUGCUGCUUUGCUGACGAGUGGCGGACGGGUGAGUAAUGUCUGUGAAACUGCCUGAUGGAGGGGGAUAACUACUGGAAACGGUAGCUAAUACCGCAUAACGUCGCAAGACCAAAGAGGGGGACCUUCGGGCCUCUUGCCAUCGGAUGUGCCCAGAUGGGAUUAGCUAGUAGGUGGGGUAACGGCUCACCUAGGCGACGAUCCCUAGCUGGUAUGAGAGGAUGACCAGCCAGACUGGCAGUGAGACACGGCCGAGACUCCUACGCGAGGCAGCAGUGGAGAAUAUUGCACAAUGGGCGAAAGCCUGAUGCAGCCAUGCCGCGUGUAUGAAGAAGGCCUUCGGGUUGUAAAGUACUUUCAGCGGGGAGGAAGGGAGUAACGUUAAUACCUUUGCUCAUUGACGGUACCCGCCGAAGAAGCACCGGCUAACUCCGUG
rnacentral:rRNA from 1 species